CCGGCCCUCCAGGCUGCAGGCGGAGCCCAGGUUCCCUGGCUAGAAGCCCGCGGUGGACUUUUAAAGCCGCCCGACAAUACAGAUGUCUGAGAGAUACAGAAACUAUCAAUGGCUUGCCUGUUUGACAUCAUACAGUCCACAACUUAAGAAAGAAAAUAAUGCAGAGUGAAGAAAUUGUUAUUUCACAGAGAUAAAAACAAUGCUAUGAAUAAUAAGAGCAUGAUUCCAUGGAAGCACAGCAGAGUCGUCAAUAAUUAGUCCUGGAAUACAAUCAAAACUAGAUAACACUAUACUUUGCAGGAACUAGGUUUUUUUUGAAGACUGAAGGUUCUUUUUUUAAAAAAAACUUUGGAUGUGUGUGUGAAUGACCAGUUCAGGGCACAAGGAAAGCGAGCGGCCCAGUUUCCCCCCAACAGCACUUGUUAUAGAUCCUUAAAAACAUUUGAGAGGCACUUAACAGCAUGUAUCUGUCCUUUAGUUUCAAAUCAAUUGGAUCAAUGUGGCGAGCAUCAUGAGGCCAUAUGGAUUUGUGACAUACACCCAUAACCCUUGCAAACCAGAAAUCAAUUAAUGACCAUCUUCUGUCCAUAAAGUUUCCUUCUUUGGAGACAGAUAACACGUUGUGGAUGUUCUCCAGAUUCAUAGAAUCAUGGAAUUGUAGAUAUUUGCUUUUUGUCAGCAGAGCACAACAUUCAAAAUAGAGAUAAUGAAAUAAAUUAUGGUAAAUUGUCUAUAUUACAGGUGGGCAACCUGUGACCCAGGAAACACAGAUUCCUCCUAUUAUUAUUAUUAUUAUUAUUAUUAUUAUCCUUGGUUCCUCCAAGCAGUUCAAGUUGGUCACAUGAUUCUCCCCACUCUCAAUUUUAUCCUCACACCACCUCCUCAAGGUGGGCUUGAUUGAGAGGCAGCAACUGACCCAAGGUCACCAUUGACUGAAUGAGGAUUUGAACCCUAGGGCCGUAUCCAGUAUUAGUCCUACUCAGAGUAAAGGUAAAGGGACCCCUGACCAUUAGGUCCAGUCAUGGCCGACUCGGGUUGUGACGCUCAUCUCGCUUUAUUGGCCGAGGGAGCCGGCGUACAGGUUCCGGGUCAUGUGGCCAGCACGACUAAGCCGUUUCUGGCGAACCAGAGCAGCGCACGGAAACGCCGCUUACCUUCCCACCGGAGCGGUACCUAUUUAUCUACUUGUACUUUGACGUGCUUUCAAACUGCUAGGUUGGCAGGAGCUGGGACCGAGCAAUGGGAGCUCAGCCCGUCGCAGGGAUUCGAACCGCCAACCUUCUGAUCGGCAAGUCCUAGGCUCUGUGGUUUAACCCACAGCGCCACCCACGUCCCCCCUACUCAGAGUAGGCUUAUUGAAAUUAGUGGGCAUGACUAUCUCAAUUCAUGUAUUGUUUCAGGAAGUGUGAUUUAGGUAUGUUCACCUUUAAAUAAGAACUGAAUUAAAUUUCUUCCCUAAUAGAGGACACUCUCAACUCCUGCUGUAAACUAAAAAAAGGGAGUAGUAAUAUGAUGGAUAUGCUGUCUCCUGAUUUCAGCCACAAAUCCACAGACACACCUUGGUGGAUCACCUGAAUAAAACUAAUGAAUCAGAUUCCUGGAAAUAUGCUAAUAUUACAUUGAUACCAAAGCAAGAUCAAGAUCCAACUCAGGUUGGACUAUAGACCCAUUUCCUUGAUCAACUGUGACUACAAACUGUAGUAAUAUUAGCUAGGAGACAAAUUAGUUUUAAAAGAUUAGAUGCAUGAAGAUAAAGCUGGAUUUCUCCCAACAAGAGCAAUAAAGGACAAUGUUAGAACUAUAUUAGAUACUGUAGAAUAUUUUGAAAAGAGAAAUGAUAAGCAAUUAGAUGCAGAGAAGAUGUUCAAUAAUGUUUUUGUUUUUUUUAGUUUUAUGGGGAAAAUAUUGAAUAUAAUGGGCUGGGGGGAGAAAAUUGUGAGAGGGAUAAAGGUAAUAUAUACAGAACAAAUUGCAAGUAUAAUAGUGAAUGGAGUGGUAACAGAAAAGUACACCAUUACAAAGGGCACGAGACAAGGUUGCCCACUAUCACCAUUAUUGUUUAUCUUGAUAGUAGAAGUGCAUACAGGAGUGCCUGGCAUGCUCUAGUCCAUGGGGUCACGAAGAGUCGGACACGACUAAACAACAAGAAGUGUUAUGCAGGGAAUUAAGGGGAAAUAGUGAAAUACAAGGUAUACAAGACUGUUGGAUCUAGAAGGAUAUGGGAACAAUUUGGGUGGCAUGCUUACCUAUGGUACGACAAGGUAAAAGGAAAUAGGGAUUUUUUGAGUCAUUGUAUAAGGAGAAGCUUAUAUUGAGUUUGGCCUAGAUACAGAGAUUUAUUUGAAAGGAAAACCCCUUUAUGGUUAUCACCAAUAGUAGCUGGUGCAUCAAAGAAAUUAAAUAUGAUGGAGAAGUGGGGUAAAUAUAGAGAUAUAGUGUGGAAAUCUCUGUAAAUUGAAAAAGAAUAUGAAGACACAAGAGAAUGGAGAUCAAAUUGGUUAUAAUAACAUCAAAUUAAUGAAUAUUUUAAAAAAGAUUUAGUAAAAGGUUUUACGGACCAAAUAUCAGAUUUUUAAAAGAUUCUGCUUGAAGGAAGAAAAAAACUGAUUUCAAAAAUGUUUAAACUAUUAUUAGAAUGGGAGACGAAAGUUGAAAUGGUGAAAUAGGUAAUGAUAAAAUCGGCCAAAGAUUUAGGACCUAAUAUAGAAAUAAACACUUGAGGAAAGUUGUGGACAGUAGAUAUGAACUUCACUGCUUGCUAUGAUUUAAAAGAGAAUUAUAUGAAAAUGAUGUAUAGAUGGUAUUUAACACCAGAUAAAUUAUCUAAAAUGUAUAAGAAGGUCUCCAAUAACUGCUGGAAGUGUAAGCAAGCAGGUGCUCCUUUUUCAUAUAUGGUGGAUUUCCAAAAAAGGGUAUUUUGGAAUAAGAUAUACAAUGAGAUAAAAAAGAUGUUUAAAGUGAGUUUACCAAAAAACACAACCCAAAAACCCCCUGAAGCUUUCCUGCUAGGGAUUAUGGGGACAGAAAUUUUAAAAAAAAGAAUGGUUAAUUUGUUUAUGUAUGUAACUAUAGCAGCUAGGCUUCAUUAUGCUCAGAAAUGGAAAGAUGAAGAAGUAGCUGCUAAAGAAGGAUGGAUAAGAUUCAGACUGUGCUGAAUCAGCAAAGCUAACAGCUAUACUAAUCAUCUAAUGAUGAUUACCUUUUUGAAGAAUGGAAGCCCUUUUCAGAUUAUUUGAAGAAAUAUUACAACAUAAAGAAUCCACAACCAGGUUUUGAGCUAUGAGCAACAGAAAAAAUUAGGGACUAUUGUGUUAUGAUUAUCAUUAAAAAGGAAUGAAGACGGUGCAGCAAAACAGGAACAAGGAAAACAUCACGGAAGAUGGGUUGGGAAGUGAGAAAGGAAAUCUCUAUUUAAAAUGUAUUGGAAUUUUAUCUUUAAAAUUUUCAGAAAUUUAAUAAAAAUGUUUUUAAAAAUGAAA